UACGGGGGGGGCAAGCGUUGUUCGGAAUUAUUGGGCGUAAAGGGCUCGUAGGCGGCCAAUUAAGUCGGACGUGAAAUCCCCAGGCUCAACCUGGGAACUGCGUCCGAUACUGGAUGGCUUGAAUCCGGGAGAGGGAUGCAGAAUUCCAGGUGUAGCGGUGAAAUGCGUAGAUAUCUGGAGGAAUACCGGUGGCGAAGGCGGCAUCCUGGACCGGCAUUGACGCUGAGGAGCGAAAGCCAGGGGAGCAAACGGG
rnacentral:rRNA from 1 species